GUUCAUCUUCGGGGCAGGGUGAAAUUCCCGACCGGCGGUUAUAGCCCGCGAGCUUUCAUUGAAAGCAGGAUUUGGUGAAAUUCCAAAGCCGACAGUACAGUCUGGAAGGGAGAAGGUGGAG
rnacentral:ncRNA from 2 species